GACGAACGCUGGCGGCGUGCUUAACACAUGCAAGUCGAACGGAAAGGCCCUGCUUUUGUGGGGUGCUCGAGUGGCGAACGGGUGAGUAACACGUGAGUAACCUGCCCUUGACUUUGGGAUAACUUCAGGAAACUGGGGCUAAUACCGGAUAGGAGCUCCUGCUGCAUGGUGGGGGUUGGAAAGUUUCGGGGGUUGGGGAUGGAUGCGCGGGUUAUCAGCUUGUUGGUGGGGUAGGGGCUUACCAAGGCUUUGACGGGUAGCCGGCCUGGGAGGGUGGACGGGCCACAGAGGCAUGGGGGAGGGGCCAGAACGCCAUCGGGGGGAAGGGGUGGGAACUAUACACAGAAGGGCGGAGGGAUGGAGGAACAUCUCCGGGUGGGAAAACUCGGUUUUCGGGUUAAAACCCUUUUUCACGUGUCAAGGCACGUGGUGACGGUAACUGGUCAAAAAGCCACGGCUAACUACGUG
rnacentral:rRNA from 1 species